rnacentral:rRNA from 1 species
CCUACGGGAGGCAGCAGUGAGGAAUAUUGGUCAAUGGACGAGAGUCUGAACCAGCCAAGUAGCGUGAAGGAUGACUGCCCUAUGGGUUGUAAACUUCUUUUAUAAAGGAAUAAAACGAGGCACGUGUGCCUUUUUGCAUGUACUUUAUGAAUAAGGAUCGGCUAACUCCGUGCCAGCAGCCGCGGUAAUACGGAGGAUCCGAGCGUUAUCCGGAUUUAUUGGGUUUAAAGGGGGCGUAGAUGGGUUGUUAAGUCAGUUGUGAAAUUUUGCGGCUCAACCGUAAAAUUGCAAUUGAUACGGGCAGUCUUGAGUACAGUUGAGGUAGGCGGAAUUCGUGGUGUAGCGGUGAAAUGCUUAGAUAUCACGAAGAACCCCGAUUGCGAAGGCAGCUUACUAAACUGUGACUGACAUUGAUGCUCGAAAGUGUGGGUAUCAAACAGGAUUAGAUACCCGGGUAGUC